rnacentral:rRNA from 1 species
CCCUUAGAUGUUCUGAACCGCACGCGUGUUACACUGAUGCAUUCAACGAGCUUUACCUUGGCCGAGAGGCCUGGGAAAUCUUUUUAGCAUGCAUCGUGAUAGGGAUUGAUUAUUGCAAUUAUUAAUCAUGAACGAGGAAUUCCUAGUAAACGCAUUUCAUCAAAAUGCAUUGAUUACGUCCCUGCCCUUUGUACACACCGCCCGUCGCUCCUACCGAUUGAGUGGUCCGGUGAGGCUUUGGGAUCUGAGCGGAAAGAGCGUUUCGCUGCUUCUGCUCGGAAAACUCAGUCGAACCUUAUCAUUUAGAGGAAGGAGAAGUCGUAACA